GACGAACGCUGGCGGCGUGCUUAACACAUGCAAGUCGAACGGUGAAGCGCCUUCCUUUUUGGUGGGUGUGGAUGAGUGGCGAACGGGUGAGUAACACGUGAGUAACCUGCCCCCUUCUUCUGGAUAACCGCAUGAAAGUGUGGCUAAUACGGGAUAUUCUGGGUCUGUCGCAUGAUGGGUCUGGGAAAGAUAUUGUUUCGGUGGGGGAUGGGCUCGCGGCCUAUCAGCUUGUUGGUGGGGUGAUGGCCUACCAAGGCGGUGACGGGUAGCCGGCCUGAGAGGGUGGACGGUCACACUGGGACUGAGACACGGCCCAGACUCCUACGGGAGGCAGCAGUGGGGAAUAUUGCACAAUGGGCGCAAGCCUGAUGCAGCGACGCCGCGGGAGGGAUGGAGGCCUUCGGGUUGUGAACCUCUCUCGCCAGUGAAGCAGGCCUGCCUCGUUUGUGGGUGGGUUGACGGUAGCUGGAUAAGAAGCGCCGGCUAACUACGUG
rnacentral:rRNA from 1 species